AAUCGGAAUUACUGGGCGUAAAGCGUGCGCAGGCGGUUAUAUAAGACAGAUGUGAAAUCCCCGGGCUCAACCUGGGACCUGCAUUUGUGACUGUAUANCUAGAGUACGGUAGAGGGGGAUGGAAUUCCGCGUGUAGCAGUGAAAUGCGUAGAUAUGCGGAGGAACACCGAUGGCGAAGGCAAUCCCCUGGACCUGUACUGACGCUCAUGCACGAAAGCGUGGGGAGCAAACAGGAUUAGAUACCCUGGUAGUCCACGCCCUAAACGAUGUCAACUGGUUGUUGGGUCUUCACUGACUCAGUAACGAAGCUAACGCGUGAAGUUGACCGCCUGGGGAGUACGGCCGCAAGGUUG
rnacentral:rRNA from 1 species